rnacentral:miRNA from 1 species
UGACUAGAUGUACACUCAUCU